UAAGGAAUACAGGGGAUAGAUAUUUCCACUGAACUGCUAAUUAGGUGAUUAUGGUCAGUAAGAAUAAAAUUCUUUUUUUGUUUUUAGUUUUAAUAACGAAAAAAGAUGAAUAGAAGCUUAACAUUAUGAUAAAAAAAUUGAUAGGAAAUGGGAACUGUGUUGCAAGUGCAAAUAUGCUGGAAUUUUUUAAACCUUGACAAAAAAAAAUCAGAUAUUUUAAUUUACCUAGUUUUCUUACAAUCUGCUGACAGUUUAAGUAGCUCUGUUCUAGCAGACUCAAGGAAAAAAAUUCUCAUAUUAAUUGUUUUGUCAGACACCGCUAAUCAUAUGUGUUCAUUGCUUGAACCACUAUUAUUUGUUUUGGAAAUACACAGAAAAAUUAAGCUUUUAUACAAUAAAUUACACAGAAUUAGUUGUAAUAUGUCCUUUCAGAAGAGGAAAAAAACUUUAUGAAUGAAUCAGCAGGUUAUUGGUUAACACAGUAACAUAUUUGUAAAUCUAAUAACAAUAUUUCAUUUAAAAAGUGUAUAUUUCACAUAGCAGAAGCAAAUAUAAAUAAGUCUUUUUAAUGCUAUGUCUUUCCAGGAACUUUUGCAUCAUGAAAUCAGGUUAAAUAUCUCAGAUUCUAAUACCUAAUACUUAAAGGCUGUUUCCUUUCAGUAGUUAUAACAACCUGAUUUGUAUCUAAUUGAACAUUAAAGUAGUGUGAAGUACUGGCUUCUUUGUUUUCCAAGACUGCAGUGUGGCUUUGCUGCUAGAAAUAUUGAAUCAGUAAGCAGAUGCAGUGACAAAAAAAUUCAAUUUUUCAUAAUUUGAAACAAAAGGCAGCAAUAUAGAAGAACGAGCAUAAAUAUAUGAGUUUAAAGAAAAUCCACAGCAAUUUUAAAUUUUAAUUCUCUAAGCAAAAUAUAAUAUUCAACCCAAGAUCUUCCACAAAACUAUUUAUUUUCUCUAAAUACAGAAUUUUCCUUUUCCCUCCAGUGCGUCACCCAUUGUCCUCUGCACGCUAAAAUCAGACAAGUUGAAAAAACAUAGAGAAGUACCUCUAUUCUGAAUUGGUUAAAAUCUAGUUUUUCCACAGUUGUCGCUUAGAUUAAAUUAUUUAAUACACUUCAUAUUUUUGUUGAAAUGCUCCUCAAAAGCAAAUUUUAUUCUCUGGAAAGGUAAGAAAAUUUUUGCUAAUAAUUGUUCCAUUAUAGUCAGGUUUGAAUUGCCUCAGCUUUAUAGCCCAUUUUUACCUAUUAAGAGACAGCAAACACAGUGUCUGGGGCUUGUACAUUUUCAUUUGUUGCUCUUAGUAAUUAAUUUUCACUUUUAACAAAAUAAUAGAUCUGAGUACUAACCGCUAGUCCCAGAGACUCUGCAAAUAGUCUGAGCGUUUAACUACUGAGUUACCUGCAAUUUGAAGACACUGAAGGCCAAUUACACUUUAUGCACAUUUGUUGAACUCAUUAGUCUUCUAAACAAUUUUCCAUUUGUCUUAAUAGGAUUAGAGGAAAAGAUUUGUCUGGUGAGAGUGAAAGAUUUAGACUAUUUUAUCAGAAAAAAUACAUGGAAAAAAAGGAGAAUAAAAAAUUCCUUAAAUACAAAAAAGCAAAUGUUUUGGUGCUGUAGGAUGUCUCUGUAGGUGCUAUAAAGACCUUGGAGCCUCUGCAGGUGCCAGAAUAAAGUCUUCUAGAAUUUUUUCAGUCCCACUGUGGUCCUGAAACACAAAAAGAACUGUUGCCCACAGAAUAUCACAGUGUUCCUAAUCUUAAAAUAGAAAAGCAGAGGUGUGGUAUGCCAACCCAUUCUACCCUCCUUGAUGCAAGGAAUUUUGAUAAAUAUCAGCUACAGCCCUCAGAAAGGACUAAGUGAAUGUCAGUAGCACAUGCACAUGAGUGUGUUUGCACAUACCCCUCCAUGGGCAUUUUUGUAUCUUAAAUUGUACUCACAAAAUCCCAGAAUCAUUGAGGCUGGAAAAGACCUCCCAGGUUAUGUAGUUCACCCUGUACCUGAUCCCCACCUUGUCAACCAGCCCAGAGCACUGAGAGCCACAUCCAGUUGUUCAUUGGACACCUCCAGGGAUGGGGACUCCAACCCCUCUCUGGGCAGCCCCUUCCAAUGCCUGACCACCCUUUCCAGCAAAAAAUUCGUCCUGAUGUCUAGCCUGAUCCUCUCCUGGCACAGCUUGACACCGUUUCCCCUUGUCCUGCCCCUUGUUCCCUGGAAGCGGAGCCCAACCCCUCCCUGGUUCCACCCUCCUGUCAAGGAGUUGCAGAGAGUGGGAAGGUCCCCCCUGAGCCUCCUUUUCUCCAGGCUGGUUUCCCCCAGCUCCCUCAGCCGCUCAUGGUGCUUCAGACCCUUCCCCAGCUCCGUUCCCUUCCCUGGACACGCUCCAGCCCCUCAAUGUCUCUCUUGUCUGAGGGGCCCAGAACUGCCCCCAGCACUCGAGGUGUGUCCCCAGCACUGCCCAGCACAGGGACGGGCACUGCCCUGGGCCUGUGACACACCAUGGCUGGGACAGCACAGGGACCAUUGGCCUCUUGCCCACCUGGGCACACAUGGAUUCAUGUCCAGCUGCUGUCAUCAGCACCCCCAGGGCCUUUUCCAGUUUUCCAGCCCCUCUGCUCCAGCCAGGAGUGUUCCGUGGUGGUGGUGUGUCCUCCUCACUCUCCUUUUCCAAAAGUAACCAUGUCCUCUAUCUAUGUGGUUUUAGCUGCUUGGGCACUAUCUCUCCAACCUCUUCAAUCUGCUGAAGAACACAAGAAAUGGCAAGUAACACAUGGCCAAAAUAUGUCUUCAACUAUUUUCAUCAUAAUCUAAAGGGGACGUAAAACACAAUGGAGAGCAUGUGUUCAGAUCUCAUUUCAGACCACAUCUGCAUGUUCUAGUUUUUUGUUUUGUUUUGGAUUGGUUUUUGUUUGUUUGUUUGUUUUUUGGGGUAUCUCCUUGUGUUUUGUUUUGCUGAGUUGGGCUUUGUUUCGUGGGUUUUUUUGGUGUUGUUUUUUCUUUUUAAUAUGACAAAUGUAAUUUUGAAGUCAAUUUCUUUUAGAUACAUGGCCAUAGCAAUAAACAGUGCUAUGCAGGAAAAGGUUUCUGUUUUGUUUUGAUUUAGUUUAGUUUAGUUUAGCUGUUUUGUAUUGUUUAAAAUCACAGAUUAUGCUGUUUGUCAAACCAUUUCCACUCCCACUCACUGUCCAGGAAUUAUAUACACACAUGACAAACACCUAUUUCAAAAAAGAAGCAACCAGAGCUAAAUUUUUUUAGAUAAGGCCUUCCAAGGCUCUUUUACCUAAAAAUAGUAGUAACCUGCUAUUAAAAAAAUAAAUAAAUGAAAAAAAAUCUCAGCUUCAUUUUCAGAUCCUAGUGUUUGAUACAUAACAUGGGAGCUAUGGGCAGAAAGGAGGAGAAAUCCUGUAUAAUGUGCAAUUUUGAUCUGCAGUCAUUUAGAGACAAUAAAUAUGAAACUCUUAUUUUAUGGAGAUGUAUCUUCAGGGUAGAAAAAAGCUUUAAGAACCACCUUCGAGUGAUAUAACUGAUCAUCAUAUCAUGCUAGAUUGAGCUGAAUGUAAGUGCCACGCUGGCAGCACUCUGAUUGCAUUGCCUCUGCUCUUACCUAGCUAACAGAUGUCAUUUUAUGUCAGCAGGAGACUUUUCCACAUCCUCUGGCCUAUUCACUAGUUCCAAUUUACAUGUUGCCACUGGACAAGACAAUUCACAAACAUUUGAUGAACAUUCAUUGAUAGGCUGACGAAACUGAUUUCUCAGUCACUGGAGCUUCAUAUUGAUUCAUCUGGGAACUGGUCAGAUGUGUGACAGCACUGAGAUAUACAAAAAAUCUAAUAUUCAAAAUAAAAGCAUUAAAAAGCAGAGAAGAAAUGGAAAUUCUGAGUGUCUCCAAGUUCUUGUUUCUAUAUCAAGUUACACUGUACUACUAGAAGAUAAAUAAUUAUUGCUCUUACUGUGCACUGGGAAUAUAAAUUUCAGCAUGUAUUCAGGAAUUAAUAUUAUUUAAAUUUGUUUUAUACUUACAUAAAAUGUUUCCAGGGUCAUCUGUCAUUUCUAAGGAUGCAGAUGUAUUUGAUCUCUGUCUCUUCCCUGACAGACUACUGACUACAGUAAUGCUGUUUGUGGAGAUGUUAAAUAUCUUCCUGUUCAGUUCAUCCAGUGUCCAGCUGCUCAACUAUUGGCAAAAUCUCACCUAAAUAGCCCCAGACUUCUAUAAUAUCUCCUCCCUGACUGUCAGUUUAUCACAGGAUUGAUUUUACCUGCAGGCAACUCUCCUCAGUGGCAUUUUGCCACUGAGUGAUCUGUGGAUGGUUAGGUUUCUCUUUGUACGGACCGGAAAGUCUGAGGCUACACCAUCACAGUGAGACACUUCAGCAGAAAACUGUUUAUUCACUGAUUUCAGUUUAUAUGACAUGUGCCAUGAAUUGACUUGCUUUAAUUGUUGGCUGUGGAUGUGGGACAGAUUUACCCUUGUUACAUGGCAAUCCUUACCAAAUUCAUUUAACUGCCAGGAUUUUAAGACAGAUAAAUUAAAAAAACCCACAACUAUUCCUUUUCCAGUUUCCUCUGAAGCACUUGUCUUAUUACCACUUUCUUGUUUUUUGGUUUUUUUUUUCACUUGCUUCCUAAUGGUUGGGUAUUCAGGGACCCUCUGAACCUUUCAAUCUGUCAUGGAAUCCCUUUCUCCUUGACCCACGUACAGCUCAUUCUCAAAGGGCGGUAUUCAACAGUUCCUUUUUUUUUUCUUCCUCUGCUUUCUAAAUAUUUUGACCCCUUCUUAUCUUCUUGGAUGCUUUUGCAUUGAAUACAACUAUAAAUAAUUAAUUAAACACUAAUAACAAAUCAUUUAUGCUUUGAAUUUUUUUACACAGGUAUUAAGAGGCCUAGAAAAGUCAUGGUUGUUGCAACAUCUCCUCCAUCCUCCUUCUCCUGCCAUGGAGCUCUUCGAAGCAUGUCUGUAGUGGUAUAAAUUACAAAAAAAGGGUUACUUGAGAUGGGGAUGUUGACAAAGCAUAGAGAAAGUUGAGAUUCAGGGUUUCUUGCCUUUUUAUUUCCUGCAGUUCCUGAGGAUUAGAGAAUUUACAUCAGCAUAGGAAGAUUGUACACUUCAGUAAGGUGUUAAUACCUUGAGGAUGCAGUGAGGAAGGAGAAAUAUCACUGGAGGAAUAAGUGAUGCCUAAAAUGACCAAUUAUGGGUCUAAUUUUCUGUCCUGUUUCCAGUCAGAGUUAUAAGCUGCAAUAUUUGGAAUUUCCUGCCAUCAGCUGUGUAUUGCCAGAGGCAUAGGCAGGCCUAUUUGUAUUUUGUCAUGUAAUUUUCAAAUUAUUUUAUUUACUCCCAAAAGAAUCAUUCAGUGUAGUACAAAUUCACAGUUUAACUGGAUUUCUUGGUUGCUUCUCGCUCCAAGUUCCAUUUAAAUGUAAACAUGUGGAUCUGAUCUGUCAAAACUUCUGUUGGGUUUGAAGCCUUAUUCUUAUUUCAGUCUCUAUUUUGAGAAUCCUCCUAGGCUUUUCCAUGGUCUAUCUCUUAACCCAUACAGCACAAUACAACUUUUCCUUGAGGGUUUUUUUUGUGUGUUUGUUUGUUUGUUUGCAUUUUUUUAGCUGGAGUAAUUUUGUCUUAAAGGACAUGUUGCAAUAUGCAUGUGCAAACAUGAAGAAAUAUACAGCUUCCAGUGACUUUAAAAAUUCGAGACUUACUUUGAUAAAAUAGAACAUUAGUCCAUUUUCUCACGUGAAAAUGUUGAUAUUUAAGUUAUUGUAAUCCAUUUCAUAACAAAAAAUAAAUAAGAUGAACUGGUGAGUUUCUUGGAGAGAAUUAUAUAUCUCCAGCAACACAACAUUUUGACCAUAUCUCUGUUUUCUUACUUUCAUUGCAGAAACACAAAACUUUGGACUCUCAGGCAGAAGAAAACUUGACUGCACUCGGGUUGAGCUGUUACAUGAAAGAGUGUUCAGACUGUUCACUUCAGAAUCUUGCCUCACUAUUGCUACUCCAACGUAUCCAAAAAUUGAAAGCCUGCUCCCACACACUGCCUGGGUGAUUGGAGAAGAGAAAAGCUACACAACCAAGGUUUGCCAUUGCUGUGUCUGCUUGUAGAAGAACAAUUUGCAGCAGUGAACUCCUCAUGGUUUCUUCCUCUCUGUUCAAUCCACAGCACCAUUAACCAAAACUUUAGAUGGGUUAUUAGAGAAAAGAUUCCUCCCUCUGAGGGUAGUAAGGCCCUGGCACAGGUUGCCCAGAGAAGCCGUGGCUGCCCCAUCCCUGGAAAUGUCCAAAACCAGAUUGGACAGUGCUUGGAGCAAACUUUGGGAUAGUGGAAGCUGUAUAAUGUACAUUCCAAAAUAUUAAUUUUGAAAUAAUUUUGAAAUCACAGACGUAGGUAUUAGCUUGCGCGCAAACACACACACCUACACACUGGCAUACAAUAAGUUCAUUUUGAAGAAGUAAGAGAACCUUUAGCUUGAGAUGUGUUUAUCCAAAUACCAGCUGAGCUAAAUGUGACAAGCUUUACAUUCUGUAUGUAAAAGUACAUGCUUCUAUCAGUUCAAGUUGCAGAAAGCAAAGAUAAAAAACUUUAAAAGCAUGAAUUCUGAUGUGCUUUUAAUUGCCAAGGGAAAUACAGGCAGACAUGGAUUUCUGGAGGCUACACACUUUCCUCUGGCUUGUUCAAGCAUGCAAACAAAUAUAUUGUUUUUUUUGGUUUGGGGUUUUUUUUUAAAAUGUAAAGGAAUAAAAAGUUAAGGUGGAUGCCCCUUGCCAAAACCACAGCAGACAUAAGAAGUAGAAGGACAAUUUCAAAGCAGUGUGCAAGUCUAUCAGCACGAAGCUUGUCUCAGUCUCCACACACCACUUUGAAAGAUUUCCCAGAGGUUUUUGUCUGGUAUUUUCUUAUUCCUAUAAAAGUGCUAAAUGAAAGAAAUGAAAAAAAAAAAAAUAAAGUCUGAGAGAAAAUGCUCUGUGCAAAAUGAGACAAUGAGCAAAGUAUCUCUGGCUGGAUAAACAGAGUUUUGGUGUGGGAAAGAGAAAAAUGAUUAUUUGGUGAAUAUUUUGUUCUUUGAGAAAACAUUUUUCAAGUGUUCAGCUUUGUCCAGAGGCAAAUAAUACCUUUGAGUAACAAACACUUUGACAUUUGGCUGCAGUGAGUGGCUAUAAACUCUUCAGAAGAGACAGGCAAGAAAGGAGAGGUGGUGGGGUAUCUCUUAAUAUUAGGGAGUAUUUUAAUACCUGGAGUUCAAGGAUGACGAGGGUAGGGUUGAGUGUUUUUUGGUAAAGAUUAGGGGAAAAGCCAGCAAGGCAGAUACUCUGGUGGAAAUGUGUUACAGACAACCCAGCCAGGAUGGAGAAGCACAAGAAAUAUUCUAUAAGGAGUUGGUAGAAGUGUUACGAUUGCUGGUUCCUGUUCGUGUGGGGCACUUCAGCUUAGCAUGUGUCUACAGAAAAUACAAUGCAGGGACUUACUCUGGAUAUUGCCUUUAAAGACAAUAAAAACUGUUUGUAUAAAGACAUUAGCAACAAAAGGAGGGUUCAGGAAGGUCUCCAUCAUUUAUUUGAUAUAGGGGGGAUUGUCACCAAGGAUGAGGAAAAGGCUAAGGUACUUAAUGCCUUCUCUGUCUCAGUCUUUAAUAACAGGACCAGUUUUUCUUCUGAGCUGGAAGACAGGGAUGCAGAGUAGAAUGAAGCCCCUAUAACACAAGAGAAAAUGGUCAGUGACCUGCUACACCAAUUGGACAGAGAGGAAGCAGUCUCAAGUUGCACAGGGGAAGUUUAGGUUGUUAUCAUGAAAAAUUUCUUCAAUGAAAAAGUUGUCCAUCUUGGAACAGCUGCCCAGGGAGGUGGUGGAGUCCCUAUCCCUGGAUGGACUUAAAAGCCAUGUGAAUGUGGCACUUGGCGACAUGAGUUAGUGGUGAACAUGACAGUAUUGGGGGAAUGACUGGACUUAAUGAGUUUAGAGGCAAUUUUCAACUUAAACAAUUCUACGAUUCUAUGGCUAGCUGAAUAAAGUUGGACCUAGUCUGUUGUUAAAAGCUGCUUCAGAAGACCCUGAUCUCUAUAGACAUGGGACAAUUUUGAAUGAAUAAAGAGGGAUAAGAGGGAUUUUCCUCUCAUAACUGCUAAAAACAACCUUUGAAGACACCAAUAUGAACACGCUCAAGGACUUCAAGGAGACCUACCAAUGCUGUGGAUGGCUUCCCUAUUUCAUGCUUGACUUUCCAUUCUGUCAGUCAUCAACACAGAAAUAGCUCAGCAACAGAAAUGUUAUUAGGGUAAGGUGGUAUAGAAUGACAAUAAUAUUUUGGAAAGGUAUAUAAUUAGUUCCACUUCUGCAAAGAAGUAGGACCUUGACCAAAUGCUGCCUGAAUCAACAUUUACUUUGCUUUCUGGAAAAAAAAAAAAAAAAAAAAAGGCAGGAAAACCCUUAGGUUUAGUUUUAGAGGUAAGUUACUAACUGCAGUAUAAUAUUCAUGGUCUAAAUACAGAAAGAGGAGUAAAACUGCAGGAUGAAUCUGGUCCUCCUUAAAUGGGUGAAAAUUAUUGUUAUUGUAGCUCUACAUCAUCUUAAAUUUAACCAUUAAAUACUUUUAUGCAACAAGCAACAGUUUUACAACUGUUUUGUAAUUAUCUUAUUUACAACUCCCAUUUUUGUCCUAUUGCCCACUCACAGGUGAAACUCUGUGAGACUAUUCAAAAAAAUGACGCUAUGAUAUGACAGAUUCAUGACAUGAAUAUGGCUCUUCAGUAGAGAUUUAUAUACCUGAAAUCUGUAGGAUACUAUGAGAAUAUUCUCUAUAUUUGACAGUUGCAGAGGAAACCUUACUAAAAAAUGAAGGAAAAAAAUCCAAAUAAACCAAACCUGCUCUGGUUUUAGACAUUUUCUUCUGAUCUUGCUUAUCUUGAUAAUUUACAUUCUUGCAUAUUUGAGUUGUAAGUUCUGAGGAUAACCCAGCAAUUAUUUUUCUAAAAUCCUUUUUAAAUUUUAUUUAAUUGUCUCAGUUUAAUGCAUAAGUUCAGACUUCAGUGAAAAGCUGUGCAAGAUUGUAUUAAAAUAUUCAAAAUUCCCUUUAAACAAUAUCUUUAAUGUCUUAACAUCAUAAAAGUGUGUAAAACAAUGCGUUAACCUCAAACUGAAGUUUUUAAAUGUAGGUCACCCUUAUUUUCAGUAGUCCUCAUUAGUCAAAACUGGGAAUAAUAAAACCCCAAUUCACUGUAGUGAGUAUUGGUUUUUUAUAAAGUUAUGUCUAUCAGAAGAAGAAAUAAUUCAGUGUGGAUAUUCUCCAGUUGCUUCAAGAAAGCUGAAAGAGGUAUUUUAAUGACUGUAUUCCUUGAUGCCUUCGAAUUUUUAGGAAUUUUAGCUUUUUGUAGAUUUUAAUAUAGCUGUAUAAUCUGUCACAUUUUAUAGUUGUAGUUAACAGUCACCAAACCCUAUUUCUCUAUUUCAUAUUGAAUUUUUGAAAUUCUUUAGGCUUAUUUAGGUUCCUUUCAAGACAGAACUAUAGCAAAUACAACUUGUUUAAGAACAUUUGCACCCUAGGCCUGAACAACAAGAUACUAUCACAGUCAAAGCAACCUUCAAGCCUGAAACCUUGGAGAAGAUCCAAAGGCUGUAAGUGCUGUGAAUAAGAGGAAGAUGAAGAAUAAAGGGGUCUUAGGACCUUUGACUAAGUUGCUGGGGAGGUGUGCCCAGGGGGCAGACCUGAGGGUGGGUGGUUCUCAGAUCAGACCAUAAAUAGUGGAACCUGUGGACAUGGGUGCAUGCCUUUUUCGUACCCCUCAUGCCAGAGGACCUUCAUUAAUGACCUACUCUAUCGUCUUAUCUCUACUAAAUUUGCCUGGAUUUUUUUCUGCUCCUGAUCUUUUAAGGCAACACCUUUUGCUGUUAUAAUCAUUUCGUUUCACUGCAAUUAUUUUGGUAUUCUAAGAAUUCAUUAAAAACACUCUAGUUGUAGUUGUACUUAUUUCAAUAGUAAACAACCAUAAAAUAAUGUGUAAUAUAUCACAUUACAAUUUUAAUGUAAGUACUAGGAUAUAUAUAACAGCUUUCAUAUGCAUUUUUAUGAAUUUAUCACAUUAAUUUAGAAUACUAGCUUAUCUCUUUAUGCAAAAAUAGAGAGAUCUGUCUGUGAUCAUACAACUUAGUUGCCAUGUUUUAUAAUUUAACAGCUUUUCAGUCUUCUCAAAACUAUUCAAAGAAGAAUGACAGAGCAGUCCACAGUUGAGCAAUGAGGCGCAAUUCUGUUAAUUUACUCAUUCAAGAAAACUCACCUUACAUGAACAGUGACAUUUGAAUGAAUUGCAGUGCUUUUUAUGUUAACAAGGAUCAGGAACCUGAACAAAUGUAAUAAAACUGAACCUACACAAGGGCUGUAAAACUACACUUACAUGCACCUGUUGUCAAAAUCACUUUAUCUAGAAGGUUGAACACGGACUAUGAAAGAAAAAGUGUUUUAUUUUCUGAAAACAAAAGCAUUAAACCAGAACUAUUGUGAAAGAUCUUUAUGUUGUGUUUCAGACUCUUUAUAUUCCAUAAAUUGAAUCAAAAAUGGUUUGGUCAGGGAGGGACAUUUAAAGGUCAUCUAGUCCAACCCCUGUUAUGAGCAGGGAUAUUUUCAACAAGAUCAGGUGGCCCUGUCCAAACUGACCUUAAAUAUUUCCAGGAAUGGGGCACCCACCACCUCUCUGAAGAACCUGUUCCAGUGUCUCACCACUCUCAUCAUAAAAAAAUUCUUCCUUAGAUUUGGUUUUACUCUCCCCUCUUUCAGUUUAAAACCAUUAUCCCUUGUCCUGUUACUGCAGGCCCUACUAAAAUUUCUGUCCCCAUCUUUAUUGUAAGCCCCCUUUAAGCACUGGAAGGGGCUCUAAGGUCUCCCCAGAGUCUUCUCUUCUCCAAGUUGAACAACCUCAAUUCUCUCAGACUUUCAAUUAAUUCAUUGGUGGUUUAAACCAGCUAAAAUAUUGUACUGCAGACAAAGCAGUAAGAAAGGGCUUUUCUUUGAGACCUUAAAAAAGUUGUAAGAUAGUUUCCACAGCAACUAUGAUAUUACACAGCAAUAUAAUUUCAGGACUCUUGAAUUUAUUUAUUUAUUUGUGCCUGCAGGUUUGCCUCUGGCAUAAACCUUUGCUACUGAGUUGAAGCUUAUGAUACAUGUCAUACUUCUUUUUCCACUGCCAAAUAUAGAUCUGACCAGCCAGCUUGAAAGGGAGGAAUUCUCAUAGCUGAAAGAAGAGGGGGAAAAAAGAAAAAAAAAAACCUCAGUGUCAAGCUUGCAUCUACAAGGAGAUGGACAGAAAAGUGAAUACCCAGUUUUAAGAAAUAUAGAUUUUUAGCUUGCAUGCCAGGCUUAGGAAAAAUCCACAGUGGUUUAGUUUAAACUCCAUGUAGUGAAUCACUUGUUUUACACACAUAAGUGAAGGUUGUUACAAAAUGACUGCUUCAGGAUCUGAACUGUUCUGGAAUGCAGAAAAUAUAGGAAUAGGGAAUAUGAGGGAAAAAAUAAAGAGCUAAGGAGAGGAGCUGCUGCAAAUCUUGUUAAGGUCUGAAACAUCUCAGAAACGAAUUUUGAUUAUUUGCUAUGGAGAUAAAUCUGUGUGGAAUUGAAUGAAAUAGAAACUUACAGACUGUGCUUUCCAAAGGAAAGGUGAUCUUUGCUGCUUCUCCUAAGUUCUUGAAGUGAGGUGUGAAGGAGUCAAGGAUGAACCUUGUUUUCUUUGAAUCAAGUUGCAUAUGGAAAAAAAGUAAAAACAGAACCCAACUGGGUACUGAAAGCAGAAUUACACAGACAUACAGGUUAAUUUUCUUCUUCUUUCCCCCCCCCCCACCCGCCCCCAGUAAUAAUGGUGGCAAUACAGGUCUUCAUAUUGUUGGUGAGAGGCAGUUCUGACUAGAAUAUCCAGAUCAUAAAGAAGAAUGCCAAAAUGAAAAACAAAACAAAAUGUUAGGCCUAGACUACUGAAACUUUUUCCUAAAAUAUACAAAGUUACUGUAUUCUUUUAUUUUUAUGUUUACCUACCUAUUUCUCUCUCUCUCUCUCUCUCCUCUUUAUUCUUGCUUUAUAAACUUCAGCCUGAGUUCCUGGCACAGUCCAGGUAACUGUGCCAACAUAUACUUGUAUCUUCAGCAAAAAGUUGCUGAUAUUAAUUGCAUAGAUUCUGAAACUGAGAUUUGAAAUAAAGAUUCUGAAAUCUGAGAUUGUGAUGACAACAUAACAUCAAUCUUGUGUAGGUCCUGCCUUUACAAAUUGUGAAUCUUCAGCUGUGUCAUGGUAGAACUUGGGAAAUGUAAGUGGAAGAUGUGAGGGUAUGACUGUCAAGAUGAAUCAAAACCACAUUUAUGCAUAUUUAGUAUUUUUGUCUUUGGAAAAUGGGAAAAAUCUAAACCAAUAAAAUAUGAAAUUAAUACAGACAGGAUUUUAUUGAUGAAGAAGUCACUGGAGAUGGUUAAGAUUAAAUGAUUUCCUGUUUUUUUAAUCCUCAUAGUAACGAGGAUUAGUGCUCCAGUCACUGCUAUUCCUGGUUUAUCUUUAUAUCUUCUGCCUUUUCCUUAUCUAACAGUCCAUAAUUAUGAUAUAUAUUUUUGACAUUUCCAAAGGACACAUUUUGGUUUGCUUUUCAUUUUCUUUUAGCUGAAAGAAAAUAUUUAACUGGUAAAAAACUCAAGGUUAAUUCAUAAAAACAUUACUUGUCACAAUGGCAGAAUUUUUUUCAAACUGCUCUAUCAACUGCUUUUAUUAGAAGAAGCUGUUUCUUUGUGGAGGGUGCCAGAAAUUCUUCCUGAGUCUAAUGAAGACAAUACACACUGAGAAUUUUGCUCCAUGUUCCUACGGUAGUCAGACUUUCCUGACUUCAUGCGGCAUCUGCACUGUUGCAGAAACUCUAAAGAAAAGCAGAUCAAGCUUCCUUUCUUCCUUUUUUUGUGGAAUACCCUUUAAAGGUACCAUUUUGAUUCAGUAUAGAUACUCCAUUUGGAACAGUCUUUCUUGGAUUUGUGGUUACUCACAAACUGCAUUAUGAGUUAGACUCUUUUUUCCCUUCCAGCUCCUCCCUUUAGCUGUUUGCUCAUUUUAAAAGUUCUUUUUGCUUCAGAAGGAAGACUGCAUGAGUUCUCCAAACAGUUAGGUGCUUGUAAAAUAAAGGUGCACAAAUCAAGUCUUCAAUAUUCAUUUCCCUGUUGUGAAAUGUUAAGGUCAAAGCAAUGCCAGAACUGAUUUUUAACAUGUUAAUGAAGGUAUAGAAUUAUAAAUGCCUCUUUAACUGUACAUCAAAUAAAUUUUAAAAUAUGAAUUAUGCACCCAUAAACACAUGGGCAUAUUUGUGUGUAAGUUGCUUUAUCAGGAAGAAGUUUAAUAACAUUGUUUUUAAGAAUUCAAAAGAAAUACAACUCAAAAGGGUGAGAAUGAGUGCCAAAUAUGUACAGAUUUAACUUCUUGAUAAAUGGUGAGUUUAAUGUGAAUGACUUGUAAAAUGAUUUCAGCUUCACAGAGAAUUUAGUCCCCUACUAGUAUCACUAUUUGUGAAAAAAAUUUCACAAAUAUUGAAAGAAGGCAGACUCUACGUAAACUCGUCUUAAAACAAGCUUCUCCCACCUCUACCCAAGUUCAUGACCUCAAGCCUGCUUUAAUCAGUGGAGAAUGGAGAAACAUAAAAACAAUUAGGGCAGUAAGAAAUCUUACAAGAAGGUGAUCUAAAAAGAAUCACUCUUUGCAGAAUGCUGUGUGUUGAAGAUGGAGAACAUGAUCUGAGAUCAAUGAGUGAAAAUGGGUGUGUUAUACAUACAUGUGCAGUGAUUUCAUAAGGUCAGAAAAUAAAUAGAGUUAUUUUUGAUCAGUACAGCAUAAUUAAUACAACCCCACCCCCCCCCCCCCACUCUCAAAUACUGUCUCCCUGCUUCAGAAAAGUCAUAUCACUUUUUAUUCCUUUGAUUUGUUCCACUCCCUCCAGCUCUGGUCAUUAUUCACCAAACCAAACCAGAUAUCCUUUUGAGACCUUAAGAUUUGGCCCAAUAGACUCACUGAGGACUUCAAACCGCGACCAGUUACCCUGUAGCUCUCACAUCUGUGUUAGUGGGAAGUGGAGUCUCUGCAAAUGUCAUUUCAAGGCAGCUCUUUUGAAAAAUGUUUCCAAACACCUGUAACCCAGCAAAGUAUUUUAGAGUACCUGCAAGAAUAUUUUUAUUGGAUCAGUUUAUCUUCACGGAUAAUCUUCAAAUCCUGGUGUCUAGGAACAAUGUCAAAAGGCAGUGCUUUUCCUUCUGCCUCUGAACCCUCUGUACAGGAGCGACAAAAUAGAUGUGCCAAUGGAAAACAGAAAAUCUCACUAUAAAGAAAUUUCAGACAGUAAUCUCCCAUGGAAAUAUUUCCUUCUCUCUACUAUAGUAAAAUAAAAUGUGGAAUAAAACUCCCUAGAAAUGCAAUAAUAAAUGUGAUUUUCUUCUCUAACUCCCCCCUUUUUUCUAGAUUUUUCUGACUAAGACAAAAUGUCUACAAUUAAACCAUUUAUCAGAAAAAUGACUGAGUAUUAGUCUAAAAAAAUGUCCAUCUUGUUUUUUUCUUAAUUUUUUCUCUUAAUAACUGAAAUUACUUCAUCUUCCUGCUGCAAUAUCAGUUUUAUAUAAGUUUUAUAUUUUGCUGCAUUUUUUUUUCUGAGACAAUUGCCUAAUCUUUUUCACCGUUUCAUCUGGUUGAUGUUGUUAGUCACCUGGAUAAUUCUUUAUUAUUGGAGUUUCCUUGGCAGUACUACUGUAUUUUAUUUUAUAUCCAGUGCAUUUCUCUCCAUUACCACUGUACAAACAUGCUGGUUUUUGCCAGAAUGAAGAUGGAAGUAACACUCUUGGUAGUCCCAGGCUGAAGUGAACUGUAACCAAGAUAAUUAUAGUACUUUUUUGUGUUAUUCUAUCAUGCGUUUGAAUGAAAUUACCUUAUUAUCACCUUUUGGGGGGGACUUUUCUGUUUAAUAAAAAGAAAAUUAGGUCAAUCUUUUUUUUUUUUUUUUUUUUGCAACAGAAAAAGAACUGCAAAACACAUUGCUCCAAUUUCUUAUAAAAAUCUGAGAUAUAAGGCUACACUUACACACACAUUUCCAUCCUAAGACUUGAUUCAGGGCUGUGUAGUAGCCCAGUGAUGCUACCACCUUGGCAUUAAAAGGUUCACACAUAAGUUUCCAGCAGAAGAUGUGGGAGAAGUUCUCUCACCUGAGGAACUUGAAUGUGUAUUAGUCUAUGAGACCUGAUGAGGAGUCCUGGUGGAGUUGGCUGAUGCAGCUGCCCAGUCACUCUCUGUGAUAUUUGGGAAGUCCUGGAAAUCGGAUGAAGUCUCGGGUGAGUGGAUAAAGUGGAAACAUUGCAAUCACCUUUAAUAAGCAUGAAAAGGAGGACCCUGGGAACUACUGCCCUGUCAGCCUCACCUCUGUGCCUAGAGAGAUCAUGGAACAGACUCUCCUGGGGGCUAAGCUAAGACACAAGAAUUGGAAGGAGAUUCUGGACAGCCAGGAAUGUUUCACCAAGGGCAAAUCCUGUCUGAUCAACCCACUGGCCUUCUGAUGAUGAAGUAAUUGCUCCAUCAUACAAGACAUAGGUACAUCAGUGAACAAGGGAAGAGCUAUGGAUGUCAUCCAUAUGGACUUCUAUAAGGCCAUUGACAUGAUCUGUCACAAUAACCCUCUCUGUAGCUAGGAGAGAGGUGAAUUUGAUACACUGUUCAGUGGAUAAGGAAUUGAUGUUUGAGUCAUAUCCAGAAGGUUUGGUCAAUGGCUCAGAGUCCUAAUGGACAUCAGUGACCAGUGGUGCCCUCAGGGACCCAUACUGGGACCAGUGCUGCUUAUUAUCUUUAUCAAUUGCAUAGACAGGGAUUGAUUGAGUGCAUGCUCAGCAAGUCUGCAGACUUGACACCAAGCUGAGGGUGCAGGUGACACAUGCUGGAGGAAUGGAAAGCCAUACAGAGGGACCUGGACAAGCUCAAGAACUGGAGCCAUGGGAAUACAGUGAGAGCAGUGGUGCCUUGUCACAAGUUGCCCUGAGGGGUGGUGGAUGCCCCAUCCCUGGAAACAUUGAAGGUCAGACUGGAUAGGACUCUGAGCAACCUGAUUGUUGAAGAUAUUCCUGCUCAUUGCAGGGGGCUGGACUAGAAAAACUGCAAACUUCUGAUCCAAAACAUUCUAUGACUUUGUGAUUUUAUGAUUCCACGAUUGUGUUCCUAAGUGCCAAGAGCAAACUAUUUUUAAAGGUGGAUUCAGCGGUUAUGCCCCAGUAUUCUUGUUUUCUCAAGAGUGCAAGGAAAAGGAGUGUCAUGAGACAUACAAUGGAAAAAAAAAUUAUGUUGAUUAAUAUUGCUAUUUCUGUUGAUAUUCAUAUCUCACAAUAACAAAUACACACACAACCUGCAUAUACAGUAGACAGAAAAAAAGAAAGCCAAGCUCACACUGUAACACCAUACUCUGCUAGGUUGGAUAUGUGCUAAUAGAUUACCUUAUGCACUCAAUAGGGAAAGGUAAAGUUAAAGGAAGUUGCUUGGCAGAAGGAUAAAAUCAGUACCAAAACUAAAACUUGUGUUUAAAAUGCCUAAAAUCAUGAAACUUGCUAAUGAAUAGUAGAAGAUUUGUAAUUCUAUUAUGAAUAUUUAAUGGCAGGCUAGAGCAAAAAAAAAAUGUUAAGAAGAAAAAAACUUGAGAAACUUCCAAAAUUAAAUGUUAAGAGUACCUAAUAAUACAUAUUUCUUGGCAAUUCUUAAGAGUAGUAAAACAAAGUUUCUUAUUAUCUCACUGCCACCGUAAAUGUGUGGAAAAGUUGAGAAACAAUGGAAGUGCAGUGCUCAGUGGUCAAAAGAGGAAAAAAAAUAGAGCCAUUACACAGACAUGUAGAGACCCCUAAGUUAUAAAGUAAAUAUGGACAAAUGCCAUGUUCAAAAUAUUCAUCAUAUCUGAUAUACCCAGGGAGUGAUGCUUAGUCCAGAAAAGCACAGGAUAUUAGCUACAUUUGUCUACCGUGAAGAUAAAAGAACAUUUUCAUUAUGUUGCGAUACAAUAAUAUGAAGUGCAUUUUUUCUCCUUUUAUUUUCUUUUUCUUUUUUUUUUCUUUUGAAAGAUAAAAACACCUAGAGUACUUAAAGAAGAAAGGUGGUUGUGAGAAGAAACCCGUCUCCAGACCUGCACACUACUUCUUAAGUCAAAUGUACAGUCUAAAUUGACCCACUCUCAUAAAACUGAUUUUUGUAGAAUCACAGAAUGGGUUGAGUUGGAAGGGACCUUAGAGAUCAUCUCAUUUCACCUCCUGCCAUGAGCAGGGACACAUUCCACUAGCCCAGGUUGCUCCAUGCCCUGUCCAACCAGGCCUUGGACAAUCCCAGGGAUGGGGCAGCCACAGUUUCUCUGGGCAACCUGUGCCAGGGCCUCACCACCAUCACAGACAAGAAUUCCUUCCUGAUAUCCCAUCUAACCCUGCCCUCUGUCAGUUGAAGCCAUUCCCC